GUCUUUGCCAAGUUGACGCAACUUUUUUGAAAUAUGACUGAGCAUGCUCAGUAGGAGGCAACGUCCAAGAGGUCAGAAGAGCAAUGAAUCCACCGCAGCGCCAUUGCAAUCCACACCUCUUGUAACUUCGUUGUGAAUGGUGAUGCAGUGCAAAUUCUGUACAUUUUCACACCACAGCACAGAGACUCUUCUGAGACACCACAGAAUUCACCACGGUCAUAUGAGAACAACUGAGCAGCACAACAACCUGCUGGCAAAUAUCGACGGCAACAACAUUCUUUAUGGUGUGAAAGGC